rnacentral:rRNA from 1 species
AUUGAACGCUGGCGGCAGGCCUAACACAUGCAAGUCGAGCGGAUGAAGGGAGCUUGCUGCUGGAUUCAGCGGCGGACGGGUGAGUAAUGCCUAGGAAUCUGCCUGGUAGUGGGGGAUAACGUCCGGAAACGGGCGCUAAUACCGCAUACGUCCUGAGGGAGAAAGUGGGGGAUCUUCGGACCUCACGCUAUCAGAUGAGCCUAGGUCGGAUUAGCUAGUUGGUGGGGUAAAGGCCUACCAAGGCGACGAUCCGUAACUGGUCUGAGAGGAUGAUCAGUCACACUGGAACUGAGACACGGUCCAGACUCCUACGGGAGGCAGCAGUGGGGAAUAUUGGACAAAGGGCGAAAGCCUGAUCCAGCCAUGCCGCGUGUGUGAAGAAGGUCUUCGGAUUGUAAAGCACUUUAAGUUGGGAGGAAGGGCAGUAAGUUAAUACCUUGCUGUUUUGACGUUACCAACAGAAUAAGCACCGGCUAACUUCGUG